rnacentral:lncRNA from 1 species
GAACGGUUGCCACCACCACUGCCGACCGCGUAGCCCUUUAGUCCCGGUUUGGGACACGAACCGGGACUAAAGGCUCCUUACGGGCCGGGACUAAAGCCUCGAGGGAGGCAUUGAGAAUUGGGGCGACGUGGCCGGGCCUUUAGUCCCGGUCCAGAGGCAGGCCGGGACUAAAGGGUCCCGGCCAAAGGCCCGUUUUCCACUAGUGGUACUGGUGCACAUGACUCCAUCAUAUUGUGUGCUUUUUAGUUUAUUUUUUCCGCUGCGUCCACCAAAUCUGCUGAUAUUUUGUGUUUUCUCAUGCCAUGCGAGUCCACCAUACCUUAGUCCGUCAGCCUUUUUUUUCUCCGAUCCUGAUCCUUUCUAUACAACUUUUGUGGCCUAUUUUCCCUUGUUGUUUUCUAUAGGAUUUUCUGGACUUCUUUAGCAUUGUCGAUCUACGUCCAUCUUGCCUUAUCCGCCGAGCUUCUUUCGCCGACGGUUGUCGUGGACUAUGAUUUUCUGCACAAUGCUUUAUUCUCUUGAUGUGCCAUCUUAUUUUGACAACCCAUCUUCUCUUCAUACUUAUCUUGUAUCUUCAAGUGAUGCGGUGUCUACCUCUGAUGUGCCAUCUCUUCGUUAUCUCCUUCGGCGACUCGACAAGUUUUGAAGACUCUUCAUGCUACGACGACACUCUCAAGACGCGGAUUUGGAUUAUCAUUUUUUUUUCUUCAGUAUUACACUUCUUCAAAUGCAAUGCUAUUGCAUACGCUUUGCAUUUGAG